GGCCUGAUGGUCAAGUGGUCAAGACGACAGCCUCUCACGCUGUAAUCCCGAGUUCGACUCUCGGUCAGGUCA
rnacentral:tRNA from 1 species